CACAUGCAAGUCGAACGGUGAAGGCGGAGCUUGCUCUGCUGGAUCAGUGGCGAACGGGUGAGUAACACGUGAGCAACCUGCCCCGGACUCUGGGAUAACAGCUGGAAACAGCUGCUAAUACUGGAUACGAGCUGCGAAGGCAUCUUCAGCAGCUGGAAAGAAUUUCGGUCCGGGAUGGGCUCGCGGCCUAUCAGCUAGUUGGUGAGGUAAUGGCUCACCAAGGCGUCGACGGGUAGCCGGCCUGAGAGGGUGACCGGCCACACUGGGACUGAGACACGGCCCAGACUCCUACGGGAGGCAGCAGUGGGGAAUAUUGCACAAUGGGCGCAAGCCUGAUGCAGCAACGCCGCGUGAGGGACGACGGCCUUCGGGUUGUAAACCUCUUUUAGCAGGGAAGAAGCGAAAGUGACGGUACCUGCAGAAAAAGCGCCGGCUAACUACGUGCCAGCAGCCGCGGUAAUACGUAGGGCGCAAGCGUUAUCCGGAAUUAUUGGGCGUAAAGAGCUCGUAGGCGGUCUGUCGCGUCUGCUGUGAAAUCCCGAGGCUCAACCUCGGGCCUGCAGUGGGUACGGGCAGACUAGAGUGCGGUAGGGGAGAUUGGAAUUCCUGGUGUAGCGGUGGAAUGCGCAGAUAUCAGGAGGAACACCGAUGGCGAAGGCAGAUCUCUGGGCCGUAACUGA
rnacentral:rRNA from 1 species